GGUAACGCCUGCCCAGUGAAAUUUUAACGGCCGCGGUAUCCUAACCGUGCAAAGGUAGCGUAAUCACUUGUCCCCUAAAUAGGGACCAGUAUGAACGGCUAAAUGAGGACCAACCUGUCUCUUCCAACUUAUCAAUGAAACUGAUCUAUCAGUACAAAAGCUGAUAUAAACCCAUAAGACGAGAAGACCCUGUGGAGCUUUAAAUCAAAAAUCAAUACAAAUUAACCAAACAACCACCCAUGAUUUAACGAUUUUCAAUUGGGGCGAUUUCGGAACAAAAAACAACUUCCGAGCACAAGAUCUACUCUUAUUAAGACCAACAAGUCAAAACAAAAUUGACCCAGUCAUACUGACCAACGAACCAAGUUACCCCAGGGAUAACAGCGCAAUCUUCUUCAAGAGUCCAUAUCGACAAGAAGGUUUACGACCUCGAUGUUGGAUCAGGACACCCAAUUGGUGCAGCCGCUAUUAAAGGUUCGUUUGUUCAACGAUU
rnacentral:rRNA from 1 species